GAACGGGUGAGUAAUGCAUCGGAACGUACCCAGUAGUGGGGGAUAACUUACCGAAAGGUAAGCUAAUACCGCAUACGCACUGAGGUGGAAAGCAGGGGACCGCAAGGCCUUGCGCUAUUGGAGCGGCCGAUGUCGGAUUAGCUAGUUGGUGGGGUAAAGGCCUACCAAGGCGACGAUCCGUAGCGGGUCUGAGAGGAUGAUCCGCCACACUGGAACUGAGACACGGCCCAGACUCCUACGGGAGGCAGCAGUGGGGAAUUUUGGACAAUGGGCGCAAGCCUGAUCCAGCCAUGCCGCGUGAGUGAAGAAGGCCUUCGGGUUGUAAAGCUCUUUCGGCCGGGAAGAAAUCGUGGUGGCUAAUACCUGCCAUGGAUGACGGUACCGGACUAAGAAGCACCGGCUAACUACGUGCCAGCAGCCGCGGUAAUACGUAGGGUGCGAGCGUUAAUCGGAAUUACUGGGCGUAAAGCGUGCGCAGGCGGUUGUGUAAGACAGGCGUGAAAUCCCCGGGCUCAACCUGGGAACUGCGCUUGUGACUGCACGGCUAGAGUACGGCAGAGGGGGGUGGAAUUCCACGUGUAGCAGUGAAAUGCGUAGAGAUGUGGAGGAACACCGAUGGCGAAGGCAGCCCCCUGGGUCGAUACUGACGCUCAUGCACGAAAGCGUGGGGAGCAAACAGGAUUAGAUACCCUGGUAGUCCACGCCCUAAACGAUGUCGACUAGUUGUUGGAGGGGUAAAACCCUUUAGUAACGUAGCUAACGCGUGAAGUCGACCGCCUGGGGAGUACGGCCGCAAGGUU
rnacentral:rRNA from 1 species